AGCCAGCAGCCGCGGUAAUACAGAGGGUGCGAGCGUUGUUCGGAAUUAUUGGGCGUAAAGCGCGUGUAGGCGGUGGUGCAUGUCGGGUGUGAAAGCCCUCGGCUUAACCGAGGAAGUGCGCCCGAAACUGCAUCGCUGGAGUGCCGGAGAGGGUGGCGGAAUUCCCGGUGUAGAGGUGAAAUUCGUAGAUAUCGGGAGGAACACCAGUGGCGAAGGCGGCCACCUGGACGGACACUGACGCUGAGACGCGAAAGCGUGGGUAGCAAACAGGAUUAGAUACCCUGGUAGUCCACGCCGUAAACGAUGGGAACUAGCUGUAGCGGGUGUUGACCCCUGCUGUGGCGAAGCUAACGCAUUAAGUUCCCCGCCUGGGAAGUACGGCCGCAAGGUUAAAACUCAAAGGAAUUGACGGGGGCCCGCACA
rnacentral:rRNA from 1 species